rnacentral:rRNA from 1 species
UGGGGAAUAUUGCACAAUGGGGGAAACCCUGAUGCAGCGACGCCGCGUGAGCGAAGAAGUAUUUCGGUAUGUAAAGCUCUAUCAGCAGGGAAGAAAAUGACGGUACCUGAGUAAGAAGCUCCGGCUAAAUACGUGCCAGCAGCCGCGGUAAUACGUAUGGAGCAAGCGUUAUCCGGAUUUACUGGGUGUAAAGGGAGCGCAGGCGGCAGGGCAAGUCUGAUGUGAAAUACCGGGGCUCAACUCCGGGACUGCAUUGGAAACUGUCCUGCUGGAGUAUCGGAGAGGCAGGCGGAAUUCCUAGUGUAGCGGUGAAAUGCGUAGAUAUUAGGAGGAACACCAGUGGCGAAGGCGGCCUGCUGGACGAUGACUGACGCUGAGGCUCGAAAGCGUGGGGAGCAAACAGG